AGCAGCCGCGGUAAUUCCAGCUCCAAUAGCGUAUAUUAAAGUUGUUGCAGUUAAAAAGCUCGUAGUUGAAUUUCGGGAUUGACACAUCGGUCGUGCCUUAAGGGGUAUGAACUGGUGUAGUCAAUUUCUCACCUUCUGGAGAACCGCGAUGCCCUUAAUUGGGUGUCACGGGGAACCAGGACCUUUACUUUGAAAAAAUUAGAGUGUUUAAAGCAGGCAUUUUGCUUGAAUACAUUAGCAUGGAAUAAUAAAAUAGGACGGCAUGAUUCUAUUUUGUUGGUUUCUAGGAUCACCGUAAUGAUUAAUAGGGAUAGUUGGGGGCAUUAGUAUUCAAUUGUCAGAGGUGAAAUUCUUGGAUUUAUUGAAGACUAACUACUGCGAAAGCAUUUGCCAAGGAUGUUUUUAUUAAUCAAGAACGAAAGUUAGGGGAUCGAAGACGAUCAGAUACCG
rnacentral:rRNA from 1 species